GUUCUUCACAGUGAGGAGUGAGGUUGUGGAAUGCACUGCCCUGUUGUUCUCUGUUGCAGUUAGAUGAUCAUUAAUACAAUCAUUGUGAAACAGAAGCAAAAAAAGAAAACUAGACAAUUAUAAGUGGUUUUACACAUACUGUAUCUUUGGUAUUUCCAAAAUAAUUUUAGUCAAAGCCAUAACCACUAAACCAACCAAUAGAGCAAGACAGCAUUAUACACUUUUCCGUAAGCUCGUCUGUCUCUGCUAUGGGAGGCAACGUGAUACUCCCAUAUAAGACUACUCCAAGUCUGGUGUUAUUGAUGAAUCUUUUAUCUCACUAUUGCACAUUAAUGUUAUGAAUACACAAACUCUAACACUGUCAUGUGAUGUUUUAAUAUUCAAAGGUCAUAAAAAAUAUGAGAUUAGAUAUUCAAGAUGAAAGAGGGAAAUAAGAUAUUAGCACACUAUGUUUAACGUAAUAAUUUCAUUGCAGCGAUUAAACAGAUGAUUGAACAUACUUUUAUUGGAAAUGUAAAAUAACCGAGUAAAGGCAGAACUGCAUAUCAGUCUGUGUUGGCAGUUUUAAAUAACUUUAAAUAAUACUCUAUAAAAGUCUUUAGAUUUACAUUAAUCUUAACAUACACUUUGCUUACAGGUGUCUUCCUUCUUUCUAUAAUAUUCCAAUUUUCUUAUUGCUGAAACCAUAUUUGUUAUUUUCUAGCAGGAAGCACUAGACAAACAAAAUUGAUUUUAUGCAUAAUGUGGAGAUCAAAAAAGAUGCUGAUCUCAAAUUUGAGCCGGUUUUAAUUCAUUCAAAUGUUUUAUGAAGGAUUCAGCCCUGGUCCACUAUGCAUACUUAUUUUUGAAGAUUGCACAACUGUAACGUUUUACGAUGAUAACAAAAUGGCUUGUAAUUCAUGCAAUAGGCUCUGCUUUACUAAAACUCCUGAAUAAAAAUCUUGCUCAAGGUACAUAAGAGAAAAUGACAGAGUUGACAAGUAAUUUUACCUUUAACAGACAGUAUAAAAUCAGCCCCAGGCAUGCAGGUUAAUACAGUUGGAUUUAAUUGCAUCUAAACUUCUAGAGCUACAAACUGUACAAAUAAAAUCACUUGCAAAAAAUGGUUACAGUGGUUUAUAACUGUACCUUAUUGCCACUUACAUUAUGGAGAACAGCCUAUCAGAAAAAUACAAAUUCAUUAAGUGGAUUUAAAUCAUCAAUAAAUCCAUCUCACUAUGCCACCUGGCUCUUUAAAAUCGCCCAAACUAAAUUACUAUUGCAUAAAUUUCAUAAGGGAGAUUGCUGCUUAACAGCACUACCUCAGCUUUCUUGCCGCAAUUAUUAUUUUAUAUUAAUAUUAUUGUGCGAUUUUCAAACAAUAUUGGUCUGCAAUCAAACUGUUUAGUUUUAACUUAUAUGGCUAGAAAUGCCAUAUUUUAUAUACUGAACUUAUUGAACUAGCCUAAGGUUGAACAGCUCUAUAACAAUAAUGGCCCAGACCUUUAAAGUUGUAACAAGAGUGUCCCAUUGCACAUGCUCAGUGUAAGUGACAGCAGCACAGAGCAUGUGCAGUGGAUCAUCAGAAGAAGAUGGGGAGGGUCAUCUUUGGAGGAACAGAUCUUUACUGCUAAAAGGCUGAGGCUGCCUUGGGCUGGUACAGAAACCCAAAACAUAAAUGUUCAACAUUUUUACCCUACUACUUUAGU